GCUGAACAAUUUUGGCAGCAUUACUCCUGUGGAGCAUCGGUGUGCUGAAGUUCGAUCAUGGCUCAGAUUCGAACGCUGGCGGAUCUUCCACAUACAAAGUCAGGCGCAUGCUUGCAGACUGAGUCUGGUGGCGGAAAUUGGCGACGGUGGAAGAGUAAUGUGUCGGAACAUUACCGCCUGAUAGCGCGGGGAUAACUGCGCACGGCGUAGCUAAUACCUGCGCCGAAGCAGAGACCUUCGGGCCUCCUGCGCUGUUGAAGGCGGCCGGUAUCGGAUUAGCUCAGUUGGUGGGGUAACAGCUCACCCGAAGGCGACGAUCCGUGUAGCUGGGUUUGAAGGACGACCAGCCUGGACCGGACCCUGGCCCAGACUCACCACCCGGGCGUAGGUGGGAAUUUUGGACAACUGGAAACUGAUCAUCAUCCGCGUGUGUGCGGUAAGGCUGAGUUUGUAAAGCGCUUUUGGCGGAAAAAGCGGCAAGGAUAAUACCCACACAACUGACGAACGCCAUAUACCAGAAUAACUGGCUAACUACGUGCCAGCGGCGCGGUAUUACGUAGGGUGCAAGCGAUAUUCGGAAUUACUGAGCGUAAAGCGUGCCGCGGAAGCGGUUCGGAAAAGAAGAUGAAAUCCCAGAGCUUGCUUUGGAACUGCAUUUUUAACUGCGAGCUAGAGUGUGUCAGAGGUGGAAUUCCGCGUGUGAAAGUGAAGAGUCGUAGAUAUGCCGGAGGAGCACCGAUGGCGAAGGCAGCUCCUGGGAUAACGCGGCGCUCAUGCGAAAGCGGUAGAGAGCAAACAGGAUUAGAUACCCUGGUGGUCCACGCGCCUAAACGAUGUCAACUAGCUGUUGGGGCGCCGGGCCUUGGCAGCGCAACUAACGCGUGAAGUUAAACCGCCACAAGAAAUACAGUCGCAAAGAUUGAAACUCAAAGGAAUUGACGGGACCCUGAGGAUGAUGUGGAUUAAUUCGAUGCAACGUGAAAAACCUUACCUACCCUUGACAUGUCCUCGAAUCCCGAAAGGAAUUUGCGGGAGUGCUCGCAAGAGAACCGGUUACAGGUGCUGCAUGGCUGUCGUCGGUAUUCAGUGAGAUGUUGGGUUAAGUCCGGCAGGCGCAACCCUUGUCAUUGGUUGCUACGAAGGGCGCUCUAAUGAGACUGCGCAGUGACAAACCGGAGGAAGGUGGGGAUGACGUCAGUCUCGCCAGCCCUUAUAGGCCAGGGCUUCACACGUCAUACAAUGGUCGGGCAGGGUCGCCAACCACCGAGGAGAGCCAAUCCCCCUGAGCUCGUCGUAGUCCGGAUCGCAGUCUGCAACUCGACUGUGAAGUCGGAAUCAUCAUCUAAUCGCGGAUCAGCAUGUGAGGUGAUCGUUCCCAGGUCUUAUACCGCCCGUCACACCAUGUAGAGUGGGUUUUGUAAUCAGUUAGCCUACAACUUAAGUAAGGAGGGCGAUUACGUGCGAUUCAUGGCUAAGGGUGGAAGGUCGUAACAAGGUAG
rnacentral:rRNA from 1 species